AAAAGUUUAUUAUAUUUUGUAUAUUUAAUUGCAAAUUAAAAGGGGUUGACUUUUUG
rnacentral:tRNA from 1 species